rnacentral:rRNA from 1 species
UACGUAGGGGGCGAGCGUUAUCCGGAAUUACUGGGCGUAAAGCGCACGCAGGCGGUUCGCCAAGUUUGAAGUGACAGUUGUCGGCUCAACCGACAAAGGACUUCAAAAACUGGUGAACUUGAGGACGAGAGAGGAACAUGGAACUCCAGGUGUAGUAGUGAAAUGCGUAGAUAUCUGGAAGAACACCAAUGGCGAAGGCAAUGUUCUGGCUCGUUUCUGACGCUCAGGUGCGAAAGCCAGGGGAGCGAACGGG